rnacentral:rRNA from 1 species
AAGCGCUCGUGACCAGACUUGUGCCGGGUUGAUCAUCCAGUGUUCUCACUGGUGCACUCUGCCCGGUUCAGGCCAGCAUCGGUUCUAGGGGGGGCAUAAAGGCCGCGGGAACGUAUCUCCUCGGAGUGUUAUAGCCCGUGGUGUAAUACCCCUCCAGGGACCGAGGAUCGCGCUCUGCAAGGAUGCUGGCGUAAUGGUCAUCGGCGA